UACAGAGGUGGCAAGCGUUGUUCGGAAUUACUGGGCGUAAAGGGCGCGUAGGCGGUCUUGUAAGUCUUGUGUGAAAUCCCUCGGCUUAACUGAGGAACUGCACGAGAUACUGCGAGACUUGAGUUCGGGAGAGGAAAGCGGAAUUCCGGGUGUAGCGGUGAAAUGCGUAGAUAUCCGGAGGAACACCGGUGGCGAAGGCGGCUGACUGGUCCGGUUCUGACGCUGAGGCGCGAAAGCGUGGGGAGCAAACAGG
rnacentral:rRNA from 1 species